rnacentral:lncRNA from 1 species
CUCAAGAAGUGUCAACUGCUUGUUUUGCUUGUUCACUCUCCUGCUUAGACUCCAGCACCACCACCAGCCCUAAUUCUCCCUUCACAUGAAAGAAGGGCCAUCUCAUUUUACCCAAUUAAGUCUUGACUUCUGACACUAAAAUUUGAAUCUUACGAGCUGAUGCCACUAAGUUCAAAAGAUGCACACCUACUUAUUGACACAUGGUAAUGUUUGUUCCCAACUCUACACAAGGCUCUACAGGUCAACAAAUUGAUAUUAUUAUGGUUUUGUUUCGGUGUUUGGUUGGUGGAAUUAUCUCUCAAAAGAUUUCUCCAUGGAUUGUUUGUAAACAAAAUGAGUAAUCUUAGCACAUUAGUAUUUGUUAGUUUUUUACAUUGUUGCAACAAUGCUGGUGUUUUUGAGUGUUAAGUGCAAUUUUGGAAGAGAAUGGAGCCAUGUUAUUCAUUUUUACCCUCUUUUUCUCCACACACACACACACACACAA